AGAAUGAACGCUGGCGGCAUGCCUAACACAUGCAAGUCGAACGAAGUCCUUCGGGCUUAGUGGCGCACGGGUGCGUAACGCGUGGGAAUCUGCCCUUAGGUUCGGAAUAACAGUUGGAAACGACUGCUAAUACCGGAUGAUGACGUAAGUCCAAAGAUUUAUCGCCUAGGGAUGAGCCCGCGUAGGAUUAGCUAGUUGGUGUGGUAAAGGCGCACCAAGGCGACGAUCCUUAGCUGGUCUGAGAGGAUGAUCAGCCACACUGGGACUGAGACACGGCCCAGACUCCUACGGGAGGCAGCAGUGGGGAAUAUUGGACAAUGGGCGAAAGCCUGAUCCAGCAAUGCCGCGUGAGUGAUGAAGGCCUUAGGGUUGUAAAGCUCUUUUACCCGGGAUGAUAAUGACAGUACCGGGAGAAUAAGCUCCGGCUAACUCCGUGCCAGCAGCCGC
rnacentral:rRNA from 1 species